rnacentral:rRNA from 1 species
GAAACACGGACCAAGGAGUCUAGCAUGUACGCGAGUCAUUGGGACAUAACUAAACCUAAAGGCGUAAUGAAAGUAAAGGUCCGCCUUGCGCGGACUUAGGGAAGAUGGGCGGUCCUUGUGGCCGCUUCGCACUCCCGGGGCGUCUCGUUCUCAUUGCGAGAAGAGGCGCACCAAGAGCGUACACGCUGGGACCCGAAAGAUGGUGAACUAUGCCUGGUCAGGACGAAGUCAGGGGAAACCCUGAUGGAGGUCCGUAGCGAUUCUGACGUGCAAAUCGAUCGUCGGAACUGGGUAUAGGGGCGAAAGACUAAUCGAACCAUCUAGUAGCUGGUUCCCUCCGAAGUUUCCCUCAGGAUAGCUGGCGCUCGUUGCGCACGAGUCUCAUCCGGUAAAGCGAAUGAUUAGAGGCAUUGGGGUCGAAACGGCCUCAACCUAUUCUCAAACUUUAAAUGGGUGAGAUCUUCGGCUUGCUCGAACUAUUGAAGCCGUAAGACACGGAUCAGAGUGCCAAGUGGGCCAUUUUUGGUAAGCAGAACUGGCGCUGUGGGAUGAACCAAACGCCGAGUUAAAGCGCCUAAAUCGACGCUUAUGGGAUACCAUGAAAGGCGUUGGUAACUUAAGACAGCAGGACGGUGGCCAUGGAAGUCGGAAUCCG